UGAAUGCUGUAUUGCAUUUGAAAUCUUCUCAGCACCAAGCGGGAUUAUUUCACAUGUCUAACACAUGACACCCCUGUUUAUAUGUCCCAGUUUGACAUAUGCCCUUCUUGCAACAGCACGACACUGUUGACUCAUGUACAGCUUCUGAUUCACUGUAACCCCAGAUGCUUCCUUGCAGAACUGCUUUGUAAUCAGUUGUCCCCAUCCCAUAUUUGAGCAGCUGAUUAUGCAUCAGCGACAACUUUGCACUGAUUAAUCUUGAAUUUCACCCUAUUUUUUCUGACUGUUUUUACAAUUUGUCAAGAGCAUUCUGUAUUAUAACACUGUCUUCAAAGGCCGUUGCCAUUCCCCCUACCUUGGUACCACCUGCAGAUAUCAUGCAUAAUAUUUUCGGUUCCACUUUCUAAGACAUUAACAGUAUUGGGUAUUACUGGGCCCAGGACCCACUCCAGGUGUUAGUCCAGCCUGACAAUGAGCCGUGAAGGUGUAAUUUUGGAGUAUAAUUUUCCGACCUCUUCCAGCCCCCUGCGAUGGUGUCAUCUGGAGGAUAUUCCACAGCUCACCCAUGUGAGACUCACGUGAGACAGCGGCAGAAGCUUACACAAGUCAAGAUUAGAAGAUCUGCCAAAAAAUUCUGAACAUUAAUGGAAACGUUUGUGCACCAGGCCCAGAAGACGUUGCUCUCCUGGGUGAGACCCCCCAGCUCCUCUGCAGGUGUUUCUAGUAGAUUCCACGAACCCCUCAUGAGCUGCAGCUGCCCCACACAUGCAAAGAUUGAACUCAGGACGUUUCUCCUGCUGGUUCCUUCCUACCUUCUCAUGCAGAUCCUCUCUUGGCUGUUCUGUAUGUGUCUCUGUCAGAGCGAGAUGCCUCUGUUUAAGGACCAACUAUUCAGAGGUGCAUUUGGAGCCCUGCAGAAAUCAGUCGGCACUUACGGCAAGCACUGCUGAAAUACAGGCCUGGGUCUCUUAUACUGGAGUUUCCAAAACUGAAGAUAUCUGAAAGUUACAGGACACUUCAAAAAAGGUGCCACCGCUGCAUCACUGUCAUCAUCAGUGUGCAAAGAUGCUGGGGAUGGUGCAAGAAAACUCCAAAACUUUCAUAUUGUCAGGAUUACCUCAGACCGUGCCGGCAGGAUGGAGGUAGCAAACACAAUCCAAAAGCACCGUCAGCAAAGAGGGGAAGAUGUACCAAUGGUGACGCCACCAAACCGACGGGCUGGCUUGCUUGGGAACAAAAAUAUGCCAGACAUAUGAUCAACCCAAGGAGGACUGCCUUUUUCCCAGGAAUUGAACACAGCACCUGAUAACCAACCACUGCACCUCUACCUCAGGUACCAAAUUAACAGAAAUGGAAGGAAACACGAAGCUGUUCCAGAAUAAUGCUGUGGCACAUGAAGGAUUUGAGAGAACAAUGAGAGAUAGCAUUGAAAAAACAUGUUUCUGUCAUAUCCUUGUUUCAGGAAAUCUUCUGUGACUUAAGCCAGAAUCUCUAAAAUACUGGUCAUCCUUAUCAGAGUAUGCAAAAUAUGCUUCCUUUUGUACCCGUGCUUUGACUCCUCACUAGUAACAGUUUUGCUUUUGAUGUUUGUUUUCAUAAUAUCUUAAAGAUUUAUAUGUGCAUUGGGAAGAUUACAGAUCAAAAAGAAUUGGAAAAAGUUACAAAACUUUUAAUAAUUAUUUUAAUCAACAAUUUUAUUGGGGUAUGUAUAAUGUGUGCGUUUUAUUAAGGUAUGUAUAAUGUGUGCAACUACCAUUUGAAGAAAUAGCUCUAAUUUUAUUUUUACUGGAAAUAUCUCCACUUGCAGUAAGAAAUUGUCCAUUUCCAAUACAAAACAAGUAGAUUUUUAGUAACAGGAAAUCAUGUUUGAAUUAAACAUAUAAUAAUUUAUUUUCUAGAACAGAGGGAAAGUUUUUAUUUUCCUGCUAAUUGUAAUAACAUUUCUUUUUUUCUAUAUUAUGUGAACAUAAGGUAAAACAAUAGAGCAAGUUUAUUUCUUAGGCAGAUAUGAACUUUACUAAGACCAUACUGAUUUUGUGAAUGAUAACGUGGCUACUGGAGCAGAAGGAAACCUUUCCCUACCGCUGCCUAGGAGUUGGGCUUUUCGUCAACAAACAGGUUCAGGCUAAAUUAAGAGGUUCAGUGUAGCAGAGUUUUUCAAAAGCUUUGUAGUUGUUCAGCUCCCCUGAAUUUGACACUUAAUUCCCAUUUGUGACUAUUAAAAUCUCUCUUCUAUAAUGUACUGUGUUACAAUUCCAGGCUGAAAAGCAGGUGCACAGUAAUGUAUAAAGAAUCCCGUGCAGGUACUUAUUUUGAGGAGUAAAGAAAAUAACAGCUAUCUUAUCAAAUGCUCAGUAUUUACAAUAUUUAACAGGGUAUCUCCAUAACAGUACAGAACCAGAUAAUAACAAAUUAAGAUUUUAUUAUAAUAUCUGCAUUUAUGUAUGUGAUCUAUCACCCAAGAUGUCAUAUGAUUUUUAUGUCCAGAAAAUACGAUUUCUAUUGUGUGCCCAAGCAAGCUAUAAGCAGUUCAUGGAGGACAGCCAGUACAAUACAGACCUGCUGGUGACACAGAACUGAAUUUCUUUUUAAGGGAAUUAACAGGGGCAGCAACUGUAGUGGGGCUCAGAAGUGAUGACAAUAGGAAAUUCUUCAGGGAAGAUAGUCUGACUCUGCAGAAGUUACUGACAUAUGUAGGACAGCAGAAACAGCCCAAGAGCAAAUACAAAUCCUAUCUGAAGAUCAUGUGGUGAAAUGUAUCAGAAGGAAUUACAGGAGAUGAAAAUGCAAAGGUAAAAUGUAAGGCAGAAUUGUAUGCUGUCUGCUGCAGAGAAAACCGACAUAUCAUAUAAAUCUGCUCUGGAAGAAGCCAAUAGUGUCAGAAUUAAAGGAGACAACAGAAAGGUCAAAACUUGAUAUUCAGUCUCAAAUCCUUUUGAAUUUAUAUGCGAGUCAGGAUCAAGUCACCAGAUCAAAACCUACCCCAGAGGAUUUUGAGAGAUUCACAAGUGGAAGAACUUUAUUUCUCGCUUCUGAUUGGGAUGUGACUGAAAGCUGCCAGCAGCCACUCCCCGCAAGCUUCUGUCAUUUGGGGCUGAGACACUGUAAGAAAUGUUCUCAGACUUUCAAAUUCCAUGACUAGUGUUGAGCAGACCAAGCUGCCGGUUUGUGCACCUAAAGCAGACGACAGCAAUCCUAAACUCACACUUCAGGCUUGUAAACCAGUUAAAGUCUCUGGUGACCACUGUACUUUUCUCACCAUCCUUUUCUGCUCCUGAGUAGAUUUGGUGUUAACGACCGUGUCCAAUGAAGAGCUGCUAAUAGGGAGCAACUCGCUAGGAGACCUGUAGUUUCUCCCAUCCUGCCUGUGGCCCUGCAGAGUUUGUUUCUUCAGUACCUUUGAGUGGUUUUAUUGAACCUGCAGAUAAACCGCCUUUAAAGAGACUGCCCAGGCUCCGAGAACAGAACAGUAGUUAUAAGGAAAAUGAAUUGCAUCUUCGAGGUGUUGACCCUGUUGAGCACUAUUUGGUCAGCAGCAGCUUCAGAUGCGAACAGCAGGAACACAAAGUCAGCCCCACAGGCUGAAGAAUUAUUCCUGCAAGCUUGAAGUCUAGUUUUACCCAGGCAGUGGCAAGCAAUAAAAAGCUCCUGCAAUCAAUGUGCUGAUCACCCAUUUUAUAGAGGAUACUAACCAACACUUCUCUGUAGAGCAAAUACAAGAAGUAUUUCUUAAUUCUGCUAACCAGUCACUGGCUGGUAUGAAUUUCUGCCAAGAAUUUGUAAGUGAUCUAAAGCGAGCUGAAGAAACAGAAACUUGCCCAGUAACCUAAGAUACAGCAUAAUAUGCACAAAUUCUCUGCAGGGACAAACAGAAAGGCACAGAACCAUAAAAAAAUGAGCAAAAGUCUCACAAUUACCACACAUGUGGUAAAAAGAAGCAUGUUAAGAUGAGGAAAACUAUUUUUCCAGAAAAUCAGGCAAGAACUGAAAGGUUCACAGUUUUCCUUGCUUGCAGGCAUUCGUUACCUGGGUGCAGCCUGGAUGCUCACCCAAGGCAAAGCAAACGCAGUUUUGGGGCCUGUGGAGCUCAGGGUCUAUCCCCUUUGUGCAGGGGGUUGCACUUUAUCCAGAAAGAAUGAGGAACAAGGGAUGUGAGGAGAAGACAUGGAGCCCACAGGGAACCUGCAGGAGCCUCCUACAGCUCUUGGGCUUGUUCCAGCUCUCACUGCCAAAGGCAGACCUGUGCGCCAAACACCGCGUUUAUACCUGUUGUAACUGCUGUGGUCACCGAAGUGUGAGCGGUAUCUAUAUGCAUAGGCUGUCAUAACAACUUAUUCCAACGCAUCUUUCUCCAGGCAUCUUGUUUCUUAAAUAGUCCCCUGGCCCCCAUGGAAACCGUCCUGAGAUUGACUUUUCAAUAUUUUUAACAGUAUUAGGAGUGACUUCUUGCCUCUGUGCAUACAAGUGAUUGCAACUAUUCCUGUUUAUCACGGUGACAGAUAUGUGUGCUAAUUAGAUAUUCUUUCAUACACGCAACCAAAUCCCAACUCUUGCAAAUCAGAGCCUCCACUAAGCUCCUCGAAAUGACUGUGGCUUCUCAGAGAACGCUUCCAAAGCAUGUUGUGUCCUACCAUGAGGAAAGGGUGAUGCUAAGGGUGCAAACAAGUGAAUGUUGAUCAAGAAAGCCAUAAUAAAACAAGCUUUUGAAGCGUAAUGAUUUCUAAAUAUAAAGCAAAACCAUGGGUUGUAUUUUUACAACUUAGAAAAUUAGACAGUGGGUAGAAGACAAUGCACCGGUGUCUUCCACGCUACCGAUUCUCGUGCUGUGUUAUGCACAAUCAAGAGAGCUACAAAGGCAGGGGCUGCCCAUGCAGCUCGAUGGCCCAGAUCUCAACUGGCUCCUCAGGACCUGGCACAGGACCACAAGGGUGAAACAGCAGCGACUGAUCCCCCCACUCACCCAUGCUGGUGGGGAAGCUGCAGCCCGUGUUCCCCCCAUCAGGAAUUACGAGAAUGACUGGAGACCUUCCAAAAGAACAACUCGGCUGGUUUUCUUGUGUCAUGCCAGUUUGUGCAGACGGGACUUGACACACUUCACAAGAAGUCAACUGAGUGACCGUCACCAGGUGCUCCAGACCUCAAAGGGUUAAAGGUCCCACUGUACAGACCUGUGAGGCACCCUCAUUCCUCAGCCCUGGGAGCUGAUCAGGAUCAACAAAUAUUAGUAGAUGUAAGACUUAAAUGCAAAUUUUGAAAACAUCUUAGGGUCAGUUUCUGUAUAUUUAUUACUCGCAACCAACUCGAGAUUUCCAUAAGCACUUUAUUACUAUUUAAUUAAAUAAGUAAGAGCCAGAUUUUUCAAAGCACUUCAUUGAUCCCACCCCACUGCGAUACCAUUGCUGAGCUCUUCUGGGAAUCUGGCUGCAAGGGGGUGUCCUGAGUACUUGGAAAAUCUUGCUCAUUCAGAUCUGGCAGGCUGAUUCUGAAAUAAUAUCUGGAAAUCCACUUGCAACAUUUGUAAUAGCUAUCCAUUUGCAUAUACAAAAGCUGACUUUUGGCAUGAAUAUCAUUUUCUUAUACCUUUCCUUUGAAAAUCUUAUCCAGACUGUCUAGACAAGUCAAAACUCCCAUUUGUGCUUACUAUUUUGCAAUUUAUUAUUUUGCUUUCCAUUUUGAUUAAUUUGGAAACCUCCCUUAGCAAAGAUGUAGCGAUAGGAGGAUAUAGUUUUACAGGCUGCUCAUAUAAUCCCACUACUCUGGUCAUACAUCCCCUUGAAGUUUGCUCUAAAGCUUACACACAAAAAUCCAGCCUCAUAAAUCUAAUUCUACCUACUGGCAUGCACUUUCAGACAUCCACAGCUCAUCCAAACGCACACUUAUGCAUUUGCUUUUUAUUUCUUUCUACGCCUUUUUUUUUUAAUAGUAGCAUUGUAAAUGUUUAAGCAGUUGAAUAUUGUAGAGCCAGCAGAAAUUUAAAUGUGCCAUGUAUUUUCUAAGCAAAGAUACUAUGGGAAGACACUAAGAUACUUUUAAAAGGGUCUGCUUCUCUCUUUCUCUUUCUUACUCAAAAUACAGCUUUUACAAAUAUGACAUCUUAAAAUUAAAAUGUUUGUUCUGAAAGUAAUAGCCAAGAUCAUAGAAUAUUUAUGUGUUCAUUAAUAUUUGAAUUUUGAAUAAUGCAUACUUGUAUAUUUCCACAAAAGAAUGCAAUGUGUAUUUUAUACCAAAGUCAUAUUCCUUUCCCUGUAACAAGCACAGAAGCAGCUUUAUUUGCAUUACUCACUUGCAGGUAUGUAAUAUCAGAUUACACAGUUAAUUCCCUUUGUUUCCUAGAAAUAUCUAUGUCAGGCUUUUUUACUUUGCAUACAGAGGAGGUCCAUAUUCAUAACAUCCUAUUCUAAAUGCUGAAAAGUUCUAUGCACUUAGCUGUUAAUUUUGAAACAGUUUCUCAUUUAAUAUGUUCUGUUCCAUUUGGUACUAAUUGUAUCUGCUUCUUACCAAAACUUUUGUCUCUGGGAAAUCUAAGCCACAUCCUCCCACUUCAUCAGUAAUGGUUCAUCUAUGUGCAAGGACACCCGGCUGCAUCUCAAAUAGCACUUCAUGCGCUGCCAUUCACCAUCACUCUUCGGGAUGCUGAUGAAUGUGCUGACAGACAAAGGCUAAUUGGCAGACUGCACGGAGUCAGUUUUUGAUGACACAAGAGAAAUAACAGGAGACAGAGCAGGUAACAAAGAAAGUUUAGAGGGAAUAACAACAGAGACACAGACAGAGAGCGUUUCAUGCGAGGAGAGCACGCAGGCUGCAAUACAGCGGGAGGGAACUGAAGAAGCCAAGAAAUGCACAAAAGCCUGAAAGAGGGAAAAGGUAAAGGGGAGCUAACCCUGCAUGUACUGCUGUGACACUGACAGAAAUGUCUCCGAUACGAAAGAAAGUUUGGGAUGGCACUUUCAAAACUGAGGUGAUUCACCAAAAUGUUUGCUUAAGGUUCAUGAACCUACUAAGCAAACGUGGACCUAUUGUCAUAUGAGUCUGGACUUGAUAUGUAAUUUAUAUUUCAAAUUGUGGGCUCCAUAUGCAGCAGUUUCACCUGAUGUUCACCUCGCAAUUUGGGUGCAGACACAGUCGUUAUGAGAGCAAACAUUCAUUAAAAUAUUUUGCUGGACAGUCAUUGGCAAGCAUAAUUACAGUACAUGAUUUACAAUGUGUUCAUGAUUUUUUGUGAGGCUGCUUGUAAAUGGGUAAUUUCCAGUCUGUGGACAUGGAAUUAAUUUGAACGCAGCCCAGAUUUUACACUCAUUCAUGCUGGAGCUGUCUAUUACUAUUCAUUUCUAUAGCACCCAGUUGCAGGAGAGUUGAUCAGGUCUUUGAGCACAACUGUAAAACUUUAAACCCAAAGAGGGUAUUGCAUGUAAAAAGAACCUGAGAAAGAUGAUGCAAAGUAAAACAAAACCACUAAAUUGUCCACAGACAGUUCUUCUUUAAUUGCAACUGAUUGGUAAAGGAUUUCCUAUACUUAACUCUGUAAUUAAAAGAUUGUGCUCCUCUAAUGCAUUCUUCUAUUAGAAAUAUUGCAUGUAUUUCCAAAGCUGAAUUUUGAGCCUUAGAAAAUGCCUUUGAAAUAUUGGCUAGCAUAAAUCACCUUUUAUCCACUGUUCUCAGUAAAACUUCACAAGUUGAGGAUACGCACCCAUGUUUCUGAAUUAUCUGUGUAAGCGCUUCUUAGCAGAAACGUGGGGAGGGUUAACAUGCUCGGCCAACUACUGGAUGUAACUGACUGAAGAAGAACACGUGCAUUUAAAUCAGUUGAGCCUGUAGCUGAAAUCUUUCGCCUCAGUUUUUAAAGGGAGCCAGAAUGCUUGGCAUCUUCUUCUCCAGCAUAAUCCCAGUGAGCCAAACAAGCUGCGGCCAGACAAAGCGUCUGCAUUACCGACUCUGAGCUUCCAUCAAGGCUUUAGACAUCUCCCUGAUCUAAACUCCAGUUAUAAAUAAUUGCAGGUGAAACAUGCACCCAUAAUUAUUGUUUUCCUCACAAAAAAAAAAAAAAAAAAGUUGGCAUUUGAUCUUUUCCUUUCUCUUCUUUUUAUUAUAAAGCAUAAAUAUGAAAAAUACACCGUCGCACUCUGCACUGUGCACAGAGACAUUUUACCCUUUAAGCCUCCAAAGAAAUAUCAGGCCUGAGCAAACUACCUAAUUACUGUGUCUCCAUUCAGUGUGUCCCAGGUCAGUGUGCAGAUAUAUGCAUAAAGGCAAUAGCAGCUUUGGGAAAUAAUCUUGAUUAUAAAGACCCAUAUACUUGUUCUCCUGUGUGUAAAUAUGUGCCACUCACCACAAUAUAACCACACAGUAUUGCUGAUUAGGUAUCAAAAUGGAUGGGGGAUAUAUGUACGUUUAAGGAGGAUUUUUAAAGCUAUUUCUCUCCUAAAUCACACAACAUAAGUCAGUGGGAGUUAGCCUUUUAAAAUUUGACCUUUGCAUCACACAUAAUGUCUUUAAGUUGGAUAUUUUUCACAGUAACUUGCUCCAGAGGUAGCUGAAUAACACUUUCUCAUAAAUGUAAUAAAUAUAAUCCAUACAUUUACUUUUAUUUCUCCAGUGUCCAUAAUUUUGGGGGUUAUUGUUAAAAAAUGUGCAUUUGCUCCCACAUUGAGGUAAUGAAGAAGCCGCGGUUUUUUCCUCUUCUCUUGGCAUAUGAAUCGGAUUUCUAAAAAUUCACUAUAGUAAUCACACAACGCUGCUGCAAAGAAUUACUUGACAAAACCUUUUGAGAUUUCAGCCUACCUCGUCCCUUUGUUUCAUAACUAGAAGGAGUAUAAUGAAUGCAAAAACUCAGCGAAUAGAGCUCAGCAGGGCCUACUUUUUUCUCAUGACUCCUGUGAUUAUAAUAAUUUGAUUUUAUAGGUGUCUAUCCUAAGACCCCAGCUAGGGAGCAAUCUUUACUGAGUCAUGAACUUUCACAUCAUUAAAUCUCUCUACAUUUAUUUUAAACAUAUCAAAAGUGUCAGACAACUUUAGAUCUACUCAGUUUUAUUUGCAUUGGGUAAAAUGAAGUUUAGCCACUUGAGAAAAUAAAUGGAAUCAUUUCCUUAGCACUCGGGAAGGCAUUUGGGCUCUGGAGCCUGCGAUUCCGCCCGUGCGGCAGCCGAUCACGUCUCCUGUUCGGGCCAGGACACAUGUUUACAAGGACAGGAAUCUGAGUAAUUUCCUACCACUCUGAAGGGAAUAUUAAACUCUUCUGUCAGUUCGAUGUCUAUUAUUUAUGUUCCUUUUUUUUUUAUUGUUGUUGUUGUUGAUUUCAAAAAAUAUUUCUUUGUUGGUUCAACGCUGACUCCCCAUAGAAAGUGAUGAAAUGCCCAAUAUGUUAAAAAACCUUAUCACUAAAUCAGAAGCAGAACUAUAAAUUUUGGCUUUUGAAACUGAACUGACUGUUGAGGAUCAUUUUGCUCCUGAAAUAUUACAGCAGUGAUCAAUUUGCUGUAAAAUUAAGCAGUUUAGCUCUGCAAUCUAUAGAUGGAAAACAUGUUGUUCUUGAGCAAAGUUUAUGCCCUGCCCAAGGGAUAAAUUAAAUUUUAUGGGUAAGACAUGCAUUAUUAUAUGCUUAUCUGUUUAACAUAUCAUUCUUUUCCACAUCAGUAUUAUAAAUAUUUUUAAUCAUACAUUUGAUCUCUUGUGCAUAUAGUGAUAUGGUAAUUCCCCCUGCCCCCCUCAAAAAAUACAACCAGACACAGUUAAUUCAUCACAGAACAGGGGAGAAUAUUCUAAUCUUCCUAAGAAAUAUGCUGAAGAUUGAAGCAGAGGCACUUAAAAUUGGGGCUACUUUGCAAUCAUUCAGUGGAAUAAAUUUUUCCUGAAGGAAGGGGUGGAACUACGUUACCCAUUUUUAUUAUGGUUGUUAUUAUUGAAUAUUUAUAUUACAAGCCUCUAAUCAAAACUGGGGGCUGCAGAUGAAGACAAUCCAGUCAUAAAAGUUAGGCAAAGUAAUCAAAUGUAUUAAUUUAAUAAUUUUGUUGCUGGUUUUAUAAAUUUCUGUUGAUUUUCCUUGAAUUGUAGAAACUAGAUUCCAAGCUCUCCAACAGACCAUCACACUGGCUUUCAAAUCAUGGGCAACUUCUCUUCAAGUUUCGACAGAAAUGGAUCUUCUGAAGCACAAAGAGUAAGAACCUGUGAAUCCUUUGCCUUUUGUAUAGGGGAGAGGGCAUGGAGAAGCCCUAAAGGUGUCUGUAGGAAGAACCUGAGGAGUCCUGAUGCAGUGACAAAUGAAAUCAUAGGUAUAAGCACCUGUUCGACAUUUACAAUAUGUGACACUAAAGUGUUCAAAUUAGAAGCAGAUGAACUCCACUUCCCCAUGUUUGUUAUCAGCCACAUCAUGGAAUAUAUUCUAAAAAUGGCCAUGUUGUAAGAACAGAGUUGAAGUGAAGGUGGACGAGCUGGGUCAGUCCCCUCCGGUAUCUUUUUCCUUUUUUUAGCUUCUGUUAAAGCAGAUUAAAGGGGGUAGAAUCAAAGCCUCAAUUGUGAGUUAAUUAACCUGGUCAGUUUGAAUGGGAAAAAUAAACAGCAAAGACAUCUUAAUUUGGAUAUUUGUUCACCAGUCACCUUCAGCAUCUGUGAUCUAUACUUGAUGCUGUCCAUUGUGAAUACUCCGUGUCACACUAUGUUUUAUGAAAUCUCUCCCGAUGUGCAAUUUUGAGUCGAGACACAUGCAAAUUUUACUAAUUUCAUUCGGAACUGUGCAACUUACUUUUUUACUCAGCUUUGAAAAUCUAAAGCGUGGGUCCUUGUAACAUUAUCUUCAUGGUUGACAGCCCUUUUCUGCUCUCACCGCCCACUUGCUUCCUCUCAGUCACACAGAUCAUCAGUCUCCUAGUUUCUGGUGACAUGGAUAUCACUGACAUUAUUUCUAGUUCUCUUAAUCUGCACUUCUUUCUUUUGAUUUUCUGUAGCGUAUGCUCCCACCAUUUUUUCUUAUUGACAUAAAUACUUUCAGCAGGCACAUUUCAGCCCAUAUUUUAGGCUGCCUAUAACAUGUUUCCAUGUGAAUCACCUUUUCCCAUUUUUACUGAAUGAGAAGUUUAAGGUGGCUAUGGUAAUAAAAAGGAGAAAAAACAGCACCUUUCUUCGAGGUGAGAUCUGUUCCAGUGUGGAGAAAGUGCUGGAUGAUGCACUGCAGGGCCAACCUUGCCUUGCCAGGAAGAUGUACAUGGUGGAGGUAACUUGCCCUCCUCACUGGGGUGUUGCGAGGAUUAACCAGUGGAUGUUUUAUAGUUCCUGGAAGACACUGCUUUACUAACGGAUAUUAUUGUAUUAGUAUAUCCUUGUACAUUAUAUCCAAAGGUGAAUGGUUUUGAGGAGACAAUGCAGACGUGUCCCUUAUUAUCCAAGUUCUCCACCACUGUGAGGAAGUUCUUCAAAUGUACGUACAUCUUGGGAGUACGCGGCCAAAAUAGAAUCGCUGCAGGUAUAUAAACAGGCUGCUUUCUCGGGCCUUUUGGUAAACUUUAAUUCUGUUUAUUUUAAAAACCCUUCUAAAAUAUUGCUCUCUGGGGCAGGCACUGUCUGAGUGAUCUGUGUUUGUACAGGUCACUGAGAUCUCAACCUGUGGCUCAGUGUUCUGCAUACUAGCACACAAAAAUAAAACAAAAUUAUAUUAAAAUGUUGCUCUCUGAGUUGUAUCAGGCAAAAGAUUCAAGUCCUAGACAUAAUAAAUACCAACAAAUUCUAACUAGUCUUUGUGAGGGUUGUAAUGCUGAUAUGAAAUUAUGCCACGAGAACUGAUUUGUAACCAAUUUAUGAGUAGAUUUUUACCUGCGAACUGAGGGAAAGUCAUUGUACAUCUGCAUUUCAAGACUCUGCAGCACACUCAUGAUGAUCACACGUAAACUGGAAGUAUGUGAAAAAACAAGCAUAGAAUGAAAUACUGUUCUCCAGAUAUGCACUCUGUUGCAAAACGCCUGGGAUAAAUAGAAGUGAACGACGUACUUUAAAGAUUAUGUGAUACAACUGUUUGUACAUUGAAGAUCCAGAGAAAAGAACACUGAAAUGUGAGAAAUACUCCUGAGGAAAGGAAGAGGGUGGACUCCCUGUGCUCUGGCAUGGAAGGAGGUGCUCCAGCUGGCCUGUGAGAAGCUAUUUGGAAGAUGAUUACGAUCAGCUGCCAAGGUCUCCAUUAGGAGGUUUGUGUUUCCUUCCAACAUUAAAGAAUAUCUCUAACAUCUGUAGCGAUGAAUGCUGAAGUGUCAGUUCUGCUUCUGAAACAAGCAACACCGCCAUUUGAAGGAGGAAAAAUGCGAAAUAAUGAAUAUGCCUUCGGAGAGCAGUCUGUUGUAACAGAAGAUGUGCAAAGCCCCUUGCUAGGUUUGAUCUUCUGAGUUACUUCUAUAAGGAGUGCAGUUAAUUAUGCAAAACUUCGUCAAUGGGAAAAGUAUUGCCCAGAGAUGCCAAACCCAAAUAUAAAGCGCUGAAGAGCAUAUUGCAAAGACUUUGUGCAUGGGAAACUGCAGCGGGUCUGUGGAAUCCUUGACAGAAAGUAUGGGAAUAGAAAUCAGCCUUGAAGAUGUUAAGGUUUACCCUUGGGAAGGAUGGGAGUAAAGAAGUAUCCGGAGAUAUUAAGUUGUACCCAUGAGAGAGAAGGGAUGCACCAGUGAGAGAGAAGAGAGUAGAAGAAUAACAUGGAUGCCAGCAAAAUUAGCCAAUGAGAUGUUACUGCUGUAACUUGUAACCAAUAGUGAAAAGACACAUGAACUGGUAGAAUUGUAUAAAAAUGCACUUGUAGCAAUAAAUGGCACCUACUACUUUCAUCCUGGAAGAACUUGGUGCAUGUCAUUUGUCCGUCUCAACCGCGACAUUUGUUUCACGUUUCCUUCCUUCCAGAUGUUCAUAAGGAAAGAAACGUAUCACAUUAAACCACGAGUCAAUCUCAGAUUAACUGGAAAAGCCACAACCUGAAAUAUUAUUUGGGUUCUUUCCACGAAGGUCGCCGGACAGCAGAGGAAUGCUGCACUCGAUGGGGACUUGGGACGUUCGUGGUCAUUUCUACAGGUGCUUUCUGUGUGACUUGGGCCCCUCAGUGCUUCAUCCCCCUAUCAGAAAUGGAGAGCAAUAUUGCCUGAUGUUUUAGUAACCAUCAAUAAGCAGGCGGCCAAACUAAUGACUGCAAAAUGCUCAAGUCAUUAUAAUAGAAGGGACGCAUGUACAACCACCGCGAGUAAUUAAAAUGUCUGCAGGAGCUCUACUGGAACCACAGUCCAGAGCACCACAGAUCCUGCUGUAAUAGGAUGGGCAAUAUUUUAUCACUGCAAGUAUCUUUUAAAAAAUUAUCCCCGUGUCUGAUCUAUAAGCAAGAAUUGUAAUAGGAGCUGCAGCACUUCCAAGGCUGGGAGAAUUCACAAACAAUAUUUUCUGGUGAAGUGAUUUCUCUCCUCGUUUCAAGAAGAAAAUGCAAACAAUCCAUGCUAAGUGUUUUAAACUGUGUAAAUGAUGUCUAACACCCAGAGACACGGCCGAUAAACACUUAUUCUGCCUAAAAUGGCAGAAAAUUUCAAACAUGAAGGUUUUCGCAAAUAUUUCAGAUCUUCUCAAUUUUUUUGUGGAAAGUUUCCUGCUGUUAUGCAUAAUGUAGAUAGGGUGUCCUGCCACUUCUGCAAGGAAGAAUGAACACAGACUUUAGUAAGGCACAAUCUUAAAAAUAACAAAAAUAAGUAAACAAUUUUUUGCAAAAAAAAAAAAAUCUUUGGGUGCAUUUUCAUCUCAAAACUAUUAUUAUCUAGCUGUACCUAUAAAUAAUCUCAGUUGACAUGCGAUUUGUACAGUUUUAUACCCAAAUGCAUAUAUACAAUGAUAAGUGUGCAAGUAUGUAAUUUAUCAAGACAUAGGGGUACUGAAAGGACUUUAUUUGCAGAUCCAAAGGGGUUUUUUAAAUCUGAUUCCUAAUACUCGUGUUAAAGACGGGGCUGAAAACCACAGUGGUUAAAGAGAAAGAUAAUAAACUGCUUGCUACUCGACCUUAACUACAAUGAAGAGGGAAAAAUCAGUGUUAAUCUUGCUACUCAAGCCUUAAUCAAUUUUAUAUUUUGCUUAGCUUUUCCUUUUUCAGCAUGUAUAUAAUUUUAUAAGAUAUGCAUGGUUUUACAUUUAUUAUCUGUAUAUCUGCUCACCCCAAAUAGCUAAUUCAUCCUUGAUUUUUCUGAUUAAAGUUACACACUUAAUGUUAUUUUAACAUAGGGCUUUUUUUGUAAUGUAAUGAUAUUUAAUUUGCAUUAGCACAAGUGACAUACAAUAGAUCAUGCUAUUAUCAUGAUUGAUAUCAGAUGAACUGGCAUAAAUUCAACAUUAUAAAUUGAGCCUAUAAAUGAAACUAUUAUUUUACAGGAAUUACUGUAGUAGAAAGGCUAAGGACCCUCAAGUCAACCUCAGUCAAACCCACUCUUUAGAGUUUUAUAUUUUAUGCCUGCAAUAAAUGCUUUUGUGAAAGCCCAUAACCUGCAAAAAAAAGUCAUUGGAAGUCUAUUAAUUAUAAUAAUACUAUCCAAAAAGCUGUGAGGGCUUAUUUUUGUGACAUCACUCUUUGAUUUCUUACUGCCUUAAAUUAUCCCUUUGUUGGCUGGGUGAGGGUAACAGUCAUACAUUUGUCAUUAAAUAUAAGGAGUUUUAAAGCCUGAUCCACCUUAGCUCUAAUUGAUAUUGCUUUCAUUUGGCAGAUAGUGACCUGAUUUAUAAUUUAAAUAUGCAUCAUUAUAUGCACCUCUUCUGUAUAAUGAAAAAGCAAAGUUACUCUCAUCUUUUCCCGCAAUGUUAACAUCAAGGAAAAGUAUCUUUCUUUUUUCCCUUUUAUACUCGGAGCCUAAUUGAAAACUGUUCAUUGAAUUUCAACAUGAUAGAAAAGUCUUUUUAUCUCUCAAUUUGUCCAUUAGCUAUUAUAAUUGAAGUAUCUGCUACACAGCUGAAUUGAUAUUGUUCUUGUUUAAAUUCUGGAUUUCUCUAAAUCUUCUAUGAGGCAUCAACUAAAAAAAUAUGGGUUAGGAGACAUUAGCUAACAAUAUUGCCUAAAUGGGACAUUAGACUAACACUCCACAUGUGUAAAGCUACAGAAAGUAGGAAGUCAUCUAAUUUUACUGGAGAACGUGUUGCAUAAUAAUCUUAACAGCAUGACCAUAAGGUUUGCUAAUUGCCACAUCUGUUUAACAGCUGUCAGAUGUUUGCCAUAUGCUGCCAUCAAUAUUACAAUAGAGUACAUUACAGGGAGUUUUAUUGUGUUUGACUGUUAUUUAUUUGCCACAGACAUUACUACAGCCAGUGACGUCUAUUUCUGUUAGAUCACUAAUUAUAUUUUUAAAGCUUCAUGCAAAAUCCAGGUUUUUCAGCUUCCUUAGACCCCAUUUCUGAUGAUGUGACUAGUAACUUUUUCCCUACAGAUCUCCAAACUGAUCUCUUCUUAUGGUAAAUAAUUCUUCUGCAAAAUAACUUAUUUAUGCUGUUUUUGAAGGAUGUUUCUAAAUUCAAGUUCUGUUUUAAGGGUGAUGUUUGUAAGAACUCAAAACCAAAGUUCUUUGUCAAAGAACCCACUUCAUCUCGUGUUUUUGCACCAGGACGCAGGUCAGGGCUGGACGAUAACUCAGUUUUACAGCUCAGAAGGUUGGAUACCCCUAUUCUAGUCCCAAACCUGCCGCUCACUCAUUCUGUGACCUCAGUUCCUUGUAGGACCUUAAUUCCGAUUUGCUGACCUGUAAGCGAGGUACCUACUGUCCAGCUGUAACAGCAGAACUUACUCAUUAAAUGUCUGUAAAAAGUAAAAGGUGGAACAGCACUAUUACCAUUGAAGUGUAUAAAUACAGCUGAUCCUUGCUGUUUUUUUAAACGUUCUUCCAGGGAUUUUUAAGAUUACUUCUUUCAACUGGUCUGUGCGUUACUUUUCUGUUAAAUGUAGCUACUACAGCAAUGAAAUAGGAAGCAGAGAUUGACAAAGUGCAGACGAGGCAAAAUAUGCAUGAUGUGAUUUAAUAUGAGUUGAUAGGUGUCACUGAUCUCUAUUAUAAAUAGACUGUGAAUUCCAUAUGAUGUAUUAUUUAUCUAUUGUAGAUGCCUUUUUGUUUCAUUAAUACACUUGGAAAUCAGACGUAUACGUUUCCAAUGAUGAGGUUUUGGCAAUACAAGGGAUUGUGGUAUUUGUCUGCAAUUGCUCAAUUAUUUUGAUGAUUUUCUUCUUCCUUCCACAUAAAUUAUUAAUGCUUGAGAUGUUUGUUCAAGAUUCUUCUGAUUUUAGCUCAUUUGUCCAGCUGCAUUCUUUUUUUCUUCUCUGCCUAGAGAAGAUUAUGGCAGUGUAAGGACUUCCACUCUGACCUGAAUUCUGGCUCCUUUGAGAUGCUGCGCUGGAGCACACAACAUCCAUCCUCCCGCCGAGGUUCGUGUUUGACUGCGAGGUCUGAGAACUCCAGCAAAUCUCACAUUAACAAUGCGGUUUCAGUUUAAAUCUGCCUCAAAGCAGAAACUCUUAUGCUGCUGUUCUACCUCCAGUAAAAAUGAUUCCCUGGUACUUCUGUACUUGAGGAAGUCAAGAAAAUACAUUGCUGCUUAUUUAGAUAGGAAAGGACUUGAGGUUUUCCGGUUUCGGAAGAGAACAGUGAGCAGCAGCUAGUGCCUUCCAUCGACUCUUUCUGAAGAUGCCCAAGCAAAGAUAUCCUUGAAGACAUUAAAGAGCAAAGAGUUUAAAAUAAAAAGCAAAGCUGGGGGUUGUUCCAGGAGCCCCAUUGCCAAGCCUGGAGUCCCUGAGGUGGGUGAGGAUGACAGGGGUCACUGGAGGAGAGCGAUGGGCUCUGAGUUCAGACAACACCAGCCUGGAGGAGAAUUUGCUGUGCAGCUCCCAUGAGAAAUCAAAGUGCCUCACAAGAACGCCUCCAUCAGUAAUCUAAAAUUUGUCUGCCUUCUGCAUCUGAUCUCCUUAUUUUCGUCUUAUAUGCCUUUUUAAUGCUGUUUGUAGCCAUUUCAAUUAUGUGAUUUCCUUAUCUGUAUACCAUUGAGAAUACUGUACAAGACUUUAUAAACAGCUACUAAGUUUA